rnacentral:rRNA from 1 species
GUCUGACGGAGCCCGCCGCGCUGAGUGAUGAAGGCUUUCGGGUCGUAAAACUCUGUUGUUAGGGAAGAACAAGUGCUAGUUGAAUAAGCUGGCACCUUGACGGUACCUAACCAGAAAGCCACGGCUAACUACGUGCCAGCAGCCGCGGUA